GACGAACGCUGGCGGCGUGCUUAACACAUGCAAGUCGAACGGAAAGGCCCUGCUUGCAGGGUCCUCGAGUGGCGAACGGGUGAGUAACACGUGGGUGCUCUGCCCUGCACUUCGGGAUAAGCCUGGGAAACUGGGUCUAAUACCGGAUAGGAGCCAUUUUUAGUGUGAUGGUUGGAAAGUUUUUUCGGUGUAGGAUGAGCUCGCGGCCUAUCAGCUUGUUGGUGGGGUAAUGGCCUACCAAGGCGGCGACGGGUAGCCGGCCUGAGAGGGUGGACGGCCAAAUUGGGACUGAGAUACGGCCCAGACUCCGAAGGGAGGCAGCAGUGGGGAAGAUUGCACAAGGGGCGCAAGCCUGAUGCAGCGACGCCGCGGGGGGGAUGACGGCCUUCGGGUUGUAAACUCCUUGCGCUAGGGACGAAGCUUUUUGUGACGGUACCUAGAUAAGAAGCACCGGCUAACUACGUG
rnacentral:rRNA from 1 species